rnacentral:lncRNA from 1 species
AUGUAUUGUGACUGUUGUCUUAAUGAAGGUUUUACUUUCAGUGUUGCUUUUGAUCUGCAGGGUGAUGGGGCAGUAGAAACUUGAAACAUCUGCCAUCAUCAAUGGCAGGAAAACUAGCAAGAUACCUGUCAUGUUCUCUUUUUACUUUUGCACUGUUGAGUGGGUCUAACCAACUUAUUUCCCAACUACUUUUUUACAUGAAGAAUCUAAAUCAUGUGGCAGCUUAAAGUAUAGAUGUAUGCGCUAACUUUAAUAAAUGCUCAUAUCUGUUAGCCAUACAGUCUGUUAUCUUACAUGCUCCUUCAUACAUGGAAUGUGUUACUUAGGAUAUGUUCCUUCUUACAGAAAGUAUUUUCAAAGGGAACUAUUCGCUGUGGGUUCAUUGUCACUGAUUUUGGCCUGCCACAACCUUUAGAAGUUCUUCUUUCGAGUGCCGCCCAUUGACAUUAGGAGAAGGGUUGGAAGCAUGUACAUUUUCUUCUGGUAGUAAGAGUGGGUUAAAAGAAGCUUUCAAAUCCUUCUGACCUCCUUUGUGGUUAAUGGCAUGUGUUGAAUAAGAUGGCUACAUGGGUUUGGCAGAUUGUUCAAGAAGAAUUACUUUUGGCUAAUGUAUGUGGUCUUUGUAGUGGUUAUGAUCCUAUUCUGUAAAUCAAGAGACUUAGAUCAAAUAAAGUUAAGCCUAUCUUUUCAAUGACAAUAAAGUUAGCCGUUUUAAAAUGCAG